rnacentral:rRNA from 1 species
CCUACGGGCGGCAGCAGUGGGGAAUAUUGGGCAAUGGACGCAAGUCUGACCCAGCAACGCCGCGUGAAGGAAGAAGGCUUUCGGGUUGUAAACUUCUUUUAAGGGGGAAGAGCAGAAGACGGUACCCCUCGAAUAAGCCACGGCUAACUACGUGCCAGCAGCCGCGGUAAUACGUAGGUGGCAAGCGUUGUCCGGAUUUACUGGGUGUAAAGGGCGUGCAGCCGGGGGGAAAAGUCAGAUGUGAAAUCCACGGGACUAACCCCGGAACUGCAUUUGAAACUGUUUCCCUUGAGUGUCAGAGAGGUAAUCGGAAUUCCUAGUGUAGCGGUGAAAUGCGUAGAUAUUAGGAAGAACACCAGUGGCGAAGGCGGAUUACUGGACGAUAACUGACGGUGAGGCGCGAAAGCGUGGGGAGCAAACAGGAUUAGAUACCCUAGUAGUC